UUGAGUAGGCUCCAGGAGUUGGUGAUGGACACGGAAGCCUGGCAUGCUGCAGUCCAUGGGGUCACAAAGAGUCGGACACAACUGAGUGACUGAACUGAACUGAAGAGAACGGCAGACAUCCGUGCCCUGCAUCCCUAUGCGUGCCAUUAACAGUUCAAUAUUUGUUACGGUCUUUUGUAUAGUAUCAGUCGUACUACCGUGAAUGUUAAUAUUGUCUGGAGUUCUAGGAGGAGGCAGCACAUUUUAUUUUUACCUGCAGCCCCCUCUGUCCACAGGAAUCAGAUUUAAGUCCAUGGGGCACUGAACCAGAGACAAAGGAAUCACAAGUUCAGACUAAGUGUAUCCAGCAAGAAACUAAAAUUGGAAAGUAGGUUUUUGCAACCCUCCCAACAUCCUGCAUGAUGUGAAAAUAAUAGAUCAAUUAGUUAAUUUUUUUUUUUUUUAAAGACAUCCAGCCAGCCUGCUGUUGGAAUUCAUACAGACCUGACAAUGAACCAUUGUCUGAACACUGAACUUCUUAGCUGGUUCCUUUAUUGAGGGGUUGGCAUAAUAGGCGUCUGAGUGAAGAAACUGCUCAGAAAUCUCACCUAGCCACAGCCAAACCAUAAAGCUGUGGAACCAAUCCUUCAGCUGCUUGAACAUUGUUCUGUUGGGAGUGGGCUGUGGUGUCAGGGAGCGGAGGCUGUGAGACCUGCGCUGAGCAUCUUUCCGCGCACUCAACAACCCCCUUGCCAGUCCUGGCAGGCCGCCAACAGGUGAUGUAGCCAUCAACAGGACUGGGAAAUCCUUGAGAUGCUGAUGGGAGCUCCAGAACCAUUUCCUCAGAAAAAUCACAGAAACGAAGUAACUUGAAAAACUUUUGAGCUUACGGUUUCCUCUGAGGAAAUGGUAACACAGCUCAUAUUAUUGCCUCUGCCUUGUGUAAACUAUCGGCAUCUGUAUGUGUGCUCAGUUGCUCAGCGAUAUCCAGCUCUUUGUGAUCCCAUGGACUGUAGUUCUCCAGGCUCCUCUGUCCAUGGAAUUCUCCAGCUUCACUUCCUUCCUGACACGCGUCCUCCCAGUUCUGCAGCCCAGAGCCUAAGAGAUGGACAUCUGUCAGUGGACCGGGGCUGGAAGAUGGUGGCUGUGCUCCCUGGAGUCCAGGGCUUUACCUGAGGACAACAUGGUGUGUUCACAGGAUUCCAGAUCUGCAGCAGGGGAUCCCAUGCAGUUCUCAUGAAGGUGGCUGUGCUCCCUGGCCACCUUCAUGUUCUCAUGAUGUUUUCAUGAUGGUGGCCAUGCUCCCUGGGGUCCAGGGCUUUACCUGAUGACAACAUGGUGAGUUCAAAGGAUUCCAGAUCUGCAGCAGGGGAGCCAACGCAGUUCUCAUGAAGGGGAGCCUGGUAAAGGGGCUCAAGAAGGGGAGCUCAUCAUUUGUCUAAAAAAGGAGCAUGUUCUCCGGCAAGGGUCUGGGCUGGAACGCUGCUUUCUCUCUGUGUCGACAACCUGCUGAACCACCCCCUGGCCUCCAGGAGGGGAGCACAAAGGGCCUUGUCUGGUGAUAGCCACCCUGGCUCCAUUUGGAAUAAAACCCACAAGGAGAAACGUACAGAGGAAACUAUUCCGGAGCGGGAACGGGGUGUGUUUCAGACAUGAAGUCUGCAGAGAAAAAUCUGUAGACUUUUUUUUUUUAAAGAAAAACAAGUCCCUGGAAAUGAACUUUUGGAGAGAGAUCGUUUGUGCAGGAAAUCUUCCCAGAAGGUGAAAAAAGAAACCAAGCUAAGAAGCAAUCCAAAUGAGAACAUCCCCUCCCUGCUCCACAAGGAACGGAAGUGGGAGACGGAAGUUGAGGCUUGAAAAGCUCACCAAAGCUCAGCUGGGGCCCUGGGUGGGCUGAGCAGAAAUCCAGUGAGAAUUGUCCUCAAUGCUGGUUUUCUGUCUGUGUAGCCACUGCUCUGGACCCUUACCUCUCCUUGUGGCUGGGGAAAUCCUGCAGUGAGUGACCACAUGCCCCUGGGCUGUUUGUGCGCCCAUUCAUUGUCUCUUCUUUCCUCUUCCUUUUUCUCCCUGUCUGGACACUCACCCCUUCCCUGCUGCUCUCCUGCCCCCAUUUUGGUGUUUGUGUUUUUUUUUAAAUUGAAAUAGAGUUUAUUUAUAGUGUUGUGUUAGUUUCAGGUAUAUAGUAUUUUUUUUUUUUUUUUUUUACCUUGUAAGUAAAGGGAGAAGAGAAUAGAUAGCACAGAAUAGAAAAGAAGAGAGAAUAGAAUUUAAGAGGCAGGACAGGAGAGUGAGCUCAAGGGACAUUCCAGGCCCCUGGAUUCUGAAGUCACAUGUACAACGUUACCACCAUCUCCGCUGUCCCCACCCCAAGGGGCAGCAAGGCUGAGGCCAAGGGCCUGGACCCGCUGGGCUCCGAUCUGGGUGUUUUGCUCACAAGAUGCAGGACUUAGGGAACUGCAGAAAUCUGAUGUGCAAUGAGCAGCCGGAAGGAAUCCUUCUGCAAACUGAAGUGUAGAACUCUUGGCUCUGAGUAGUUUGGUCAAUUCGGCAUCAGUGCCAAGUCAAAUGGUUUGCUACCUCUCACAGAGAAAAUGAUCUGUUUGUUUAUUGAUUUAAUAAGGGCUGCAGCACCUACCUAUGCUCUUGUGUGCCCCCUGCAAAGCACAAAGCAUUGUGCACCCUUGAUGUUCUGAAAGUUUCAGAGACGAGAUAAGAUUGUCAAGCAAGUGGCAGCCGUUUUCUCCACCAGGGGAGGUGUCCCCUCCACCAGGAGCAGAUGUCAACCAUCCGAGUAGUCCUGGGAAGCCAAGAAAGACCCAACCUGCACAGGUGCUGGAGGAUGCCAAGCUCUCCCCCAGGGAGAAGACAGAACCCCAGCCUCAGGAGUGGGCCCCAGGCCCCAUGAUCAGCUGCCAAGGAGGCCCUGUGAGAUUUCCAGAAUCCUUCCUGGAUUAGCCUGGGGGAAGGCGAAUCCGAGCAGGGUCUGGAUGCUGGUGGGUAUAACCUGAGGUGGGAGGAGGCUUGCAAGAAGGUUCCAAGACCACUGGGCCCACAAGCUGAGCCCAGGGCAGGUGGAUGAAACUGGGGGAGCUGCUGGAGGGGGCAAGGGAAUUGGACAGGGCAGGCCUGGGUUCCCACUCAGAGCCGGAGGCAAGGUGUGGGGAAGAAGAGGGAAGUCUGGACAUUGUUCUGAGUGGACAGUGUUCUGAGUGGACAUUGUGCUGUGUGAAAUUGUGUCCCCCAGCCCCCAAAGAUGCACUUAAAUCCUAACCCCUGUACUCGUGAAAGGACCUGAUUUGGAAAUAGAAUCUUGGCAGUGAAAUGGAGUUAAGAUGAGGUCAUGAAGUCCACGUGACUGCGGUCCUUGUAAGAAUAGGAGAAGGACCACAGAGACAGAUGGAUCCAGAGGGAGAAGAAUCCUGUGAAGACAAGGGGGAGAAUGCCGUGACGAUGCAGGCCAGUGCCUCGUGUCUACCAGCGGGGACUCCGAGAUUGCUGGGGACACUGACGCCAGGAGGAAAGCGGGGCACAGACCCUCCAGAAGAGCUUCGAGAGACUGUGGCCCUGCCAAUGCCUUGAUUUGGGGUUUCCAGAACUGAGAGCAAAUAAGUGCCUGCACAGGUGGCCUUGGAGACAAAAACAGGGAGGGUGGUUGGGUGUGUUAGGUAGUUAGAAUAGGGAAAAUGAGUCCAGAAUGGUGGUGGCUAAAAGACCUGGAAGGGAAGAGCCCGUGAAAAUAGAACAAAGGAAGGUCCGAGGACCGAGGACCU